UUGUACACACCGCCCGUCACACCAUGGGAGUGAGUUGCAAAAGAAGUAGGUAGCUUAACCUUCGGGAGGGCGCUUACCACUUUGUGAUUCAUGACUGGGGUGAAGUCGUAACAAGGUAACCGUAGGGGAACCUGCGGUUGGAUCACCUCCUUACCUUAAAGAAGC
rnacentral:rRNA from 1 species